GAUGAACGCUAGCGACAGGCCUAACACAUGCAAGUCGAGGGGCAGCACAUGAGUAGCAAUACGAUGGUGGCGACCGGCGCACGGGUGAGUAUCGCGUAUGCAACCUACCUUCCACAGGGGGAUAGCCUUCCGAACGGGAGAUUAAUACCGCAUAAAACAGGGGCCCCGCAUGGGGAUAUUUGUUAAAGAUUUAUCGGUGGGAGAUGGGCAUGCGUUCCAUUAGCUAGUUGGCGGGGUAAUGGCCCACCAAGGCAUCGAUGGAUAGGGGAACUGAGCGGUUUAUACCCCACAAUGGAACUGAGACACGGUCCAGACUCCUACGGGAGGCAGCAGUGAGGAAUAUUGGUCAAUGGGCGGGAGCCUGAACCAGCCAAGUCGCGUGAAGGAAGACGGUUCUAUGGAUUGUAAACUUCUUUUGCACUGGGGUAAAACGGGGGACGUGUCCCCCCUUGCAAGUACAGUGCGAAUAAGCAUCGGCUAACUCCGUGCCAGCAGCCGCAGUAA
rnacentral:rRNA from 1 species